rnacentral:rRNA from 1 species
GGCCCAGUGACAAUAUUGUUCAACGGCCGCGGUACCCUGACCGUGCUAAGGUAGCAUAAUCCCUUGCCUCUUAAUUAGUGGCUAGUAUGAACGGAUAAACGAAAAUCAAACUGUCUCUAUAAAUUAUAUAAAAAUUAGCCCCCAAGUGAAGAGACUUGGAUUUAAAUAAAAGACAAAAAGACCCUGUAGAGCCUCAGUAUCAAAUAAGCCUAUCCUCAACAUCAUAGAAUUCUUAUUAACUACUCAAGUUGGGGCGACUUGGGAACAACAAAAACUUCCCACAACCAAAAGGCCAUUAAGCCCACCAACUGACCCAUUAAAUGAACAAAAAACAAGGCUACCUCAGGGAUAACAGUCUAAUCUUCCUCAAGAGCCCUUAUUGACAGGAAGGAUUGGCACCUCGAUGUUGGCUUAGGGGCCCUUUUAGGCGCAGAAGCCUUAAAAGUAGGUUUGUUCAACCUUUAAUACCCUACGUGAUCUGAGUCAGACCGGA